CGAUAGUCUUCCCUGCUAUGUUGUGGAAAAAGAGUAAGUUUGAGAAAAUGGGUAAGGUAAAGGACAUACAGCAGUAGUGGAGGAUUGAAUUGUUAGUGAUUACAAAAAAAUAGGUAUAGGAGUGAAUUUUGACGAGCUUCUGUGCUCCGUAACAGUGGUUUUUUUCGAUCUUCCAAAGAAAGCCUGGACCUAAAGCUUUGGAGCUGAGAAACAUGAAAGUAAGGUGAGUCCCUAGAUGGAAUCUUGCAUGUGUAUUAUUCUUAUCUAGAAACUUCUAUGCUAGGUUAAUACAACCUCGGCCAUAUCAUGUCACGAGACAAUUCGACGGCAUUAGAAUUGACCUACGCUCGAGGGUCCCAAGUGCAAAAUGAGGCCUUAAUCUCAGAUUGUUAACUUGGUUGCUGGAAUUAUUGAGGAAUCAAGGACUUACGAUCCAAACAUGCCAUGCAUUCUACUUCCAACUCAUUUCUGGUUUUCUUUAGCUGG
rnacentral:lncRNA from 1 species